rnacentral:rRNA from 1 species
GACGAACGCUGGCGGCGUGCUUAACACAUGCAAGUCGAACGGAAAGGCCCUGCUUUUGUGGGGUGCCCGAGUGGCGAACGGGUGAGUAACACGUGAGUAACCUGCCCUUGACUUUGGGAUAACUUCAGGAAACUGGGGCUAAUACCGGAUAGGAGCUCCUGCUGCAUGGUGGGGGUUGGAAAGUUUCGGCGGUUGGGGAUGGACUCGCGGCUUAUCAGCUUGUUGGUGGGGUAGUGGCUUACCAAGGCUUUGACGGGUAGCCGGCCUGAGAGGGUGACCGGCCACAUUGGGACUGAGAUACGGCCCAGACUCCUACGGGAGGCAGCAGUGGGGAAUAUUGCACAAUGGGCGGAAGCCUGAUGCAGCAACGCCGCGUGCGGGAUGACGGCCUUCGGGUUGUAAACCGCUUUCGCCUGUGACGAAGCGUGAGUGACGGUAAUGGGUAAAGAAGCACCGGCUAACUACGUGCCAGCAGCCGCGGUGAUACGUAGGGUGCGAGCGUUGUCCGGAUUUAUUGGGCGUAAAGGGCUCGUAGGUGGUUGAUCGCGUCGGAAGUGUAAUCUUGGGGCUUAACCCUGAGCGUGCUUUCGAUACGGGUUGACUUGAGGAAGGUAGGGGAGAAUGGAAUUCCUGGUGGAGCGGUGGAAUGCGCAGAUAUCAGGAGGAACACCAGUGGCGAAGGCGGUUCUCUGGGCCUUUCCUGACGCUGAGGAGCGAAAGCGUGGGGAGCGAACAGGCUUAGAUACCCUGGUAGUCCACGCUGUAAACGGUGGGUACUAGGUGUGGGGUCCAUUCCACGGGUUCCGUGCCGUAGCUAACGCUUUAAGUACCCCGCCUGGGGAGUACGGCCGCAAGGCUAAAACUCAAAGGAAUUGACGGGGCCCCGCACAAGCGGCGGAGCAUGCGGAUUAAUUCGAUGCAACGCGUAGAACCUUACCUGGGUUUGACAUGGAUCGGGAGUGCUCAGAGAUGGGUGUGCCUCUUUUGGGGUCGGUUCACAGGUGGUGCAUGGCUGUCGUCAGCUCGUGUCGUGAGAUGUUGGGUUAAGUCCCGCAACGAGCGCAACCCUUGUUCACUGUUGCCAGCACGUUAUGGUGGGGACUCAGUGGAGACCGCCGGGGUCAACUCGGAGGAAGGUGGGGAUGACGUCAAGUCAUCAUGCCCCUUAUGUCCAGGGCUUCACGCAUGCUACAAUGGCUGGUACAGAGGGUGGCGAGCCUGUGAGGGUGAGCGAAUCUCGGAAAGCCGGUCUCAGUUCGGAUUGGGGUCUGCAACUCGACCUCAUGAAGUCGGAGUCGCUAGUAAUCGCAGAUCAGCAACGCUGCGGUGAAUACGUUCCCGGGGCU